UACGGGGGGAGCAAGCGUUGUUCGGAUUUACUGGGCGUAAAGGGCGCGUAGGCGGUCAGCACAAGUCAGUUGUGAAAUCUCCGGGCUUAACUCGGAAAGGUCAACUGAUACUGUGCGACUAGAGUGCGGAAGGGGCAACUGGAAUUCUCGGCGUAGCGGUGAAAUGCGUAGAUAUCGAGAGGAACACCUGCGGCGAAGGCGGGUUGCUGGGCCGACACUGACGCUGAUGCGCGAAAGCCAGGGGAGCGAACGGG
rnacentral:rRNA from 1 species